UGUGUACCAUGUGUGUGUGUGUGUCUGGUGCCUGAGUGUGUGUGCGUGUGUGUGGUGUGUCUGGUGUGUGUGUGUGUGUGUGUGUGUGUGCGCACAAGUGUAUACUUGGAGUAGUUAAGUUUUUGAUAAGUCAACACAAGCUGGAGUCAUCUGAGACUCGGGAGAUCCAGUUUAGGAACUGCCUCCAUGAGACUGGCCUCUGGGCAAGUCUGUGAAGCAUUUUUUGGUUGACGAUUGAUGUGGGGGAGCCCAACCCACUGUGGGUGGUGCCAUCCCUUGGCAGGUGGUUCUGUGCAUAUAAGAAACUGAGAAGCAGGGCUUAGUGGCGAACGCCUUUAAUCCCAGCACUUGGGAGGCAGAGGCAGGUGGGUUUCUGAGUUUGAGGCCAGCCUGGUCUACAGACUGAGUUCCAGGACAGCCAGGGCUACACGGAGAAACCCUGCCUUGAAACAAACCAAACCAAACUAGCUGAGCAGGCCAUGGUGAGCAAGUCAGAGAGCAGCGCUUCUCCGUGCCCUAUGCACCGACCCUGUCUCCAGAUAUCUAUGCUGAUUUCCCACGAGGACUUCCCUCAGUGACGGAUGGACUGUGACAUGGAAGUGUAACCCGCUCCUCCUCACAGUGUGUCACCUCAGUGACAGUAAGCUAACACAAUAUUCCUGCCAUAGCAUGUGUGUCAAUGUCAGUGGGCCACUUAGGGCGCGGUUGUCUUCUACCAUGUGUGCCCAGGGGUCAGACUCAGGUGUGACAGUCAGUGCCUUCGCCUCCUGAGUCAUCUACUGGCCCCAAAUCCAAUUCCAUUCCAGAGUCUCCACUCUACAACAGCUAAGAGCCGUCCAUUAAGAGGAAGAAUUGAUCAACCAAAAUUGAAACACUGAAGUACACUUCACCCAGGGUGACACUUAUAUAAUUAUAUGUAUAUGACAGGAACUCCCACCCAGCCCCACCCCCACACGUGUCCGGCACUGACCUGACAGAAGAACUGCUGCUGUGUCCCCGGGGUGUUGCUCAAGGUGCUGGGGGAUUUGGAAGCAGAGACUGGAAGACGGUGGGACACACUGACGGGCGCUGGCGUUCUGUUGGCUUGUGUCAGCUGGUCUCCCGUAAAGUUUGAUCCCGGUGCCCCCGACUGCACCGUAGGCCCAAGAGUAGGAUGAGCAGUGCUAGCUGAGCUGACGGCGGGGAACCGAGCGGGUCCUGCCAUGCCGCUCACCGCGGGCAUGGUGGCGAAGCCUGGCCUUCCCUGGGAAACACUGCUCUGCCCAGGUGACAGGUGUAACACGGUGGGUGAGGCCUGCUGCAAGGGCAUCUGUCCCCCGACGAUCUGAGGAGAGGCGUGGUUGACUAUCACUGGACUUCCAGAGGUGGCAAAAGUCUGCCCAGACACCAGCUGGACGGCGGUAUUCUGGUUAUUAAGCAUCUGUCCGGAAUAUGGUUGGUUGGUCCUGAGCAUGUUAGAGGAAUUCCUGUUCAGCAUGACAUGCUCAGAGGCCACUUGGCCAGAGAUGAGCUGGGAGGGCUGAGUCUGAAGCAGCUGCCCGUUUAUAGCCUGGACAUGGUGCACCGAGUUGGAGCUGACAGAAAGGCUUGUGGGUAUAAGGAACUGACUUUGGGGAGUGUGAGGCUGGCCCAUGGGGGAAUGGAUGACGAUGCUGCCCCCUGUGCCGCUCACUGCCUGCGAGGUGACAGGCUUUCUCGUGUUCUGUUGGUUGACAAUGUUCACAGACAUGUGCGGCCCAACC
ensembl:lincRNA